AGGGGGGGCAAGCGUUGUUCGGAAUUACUGGGCGUAAAGGGUUCGUAGGUGGCCACUUAAGUCAGACGUGAAAUCCCUCAGCUUAACUGGGGAACUGCGUCUGAUACUGAGUGGCUUGAGUGCAGGAGAGGAAUGCGGAAUUCCAGGUGUAGCGGUGAAAUGCGUAGAUAUCUGGAGGAACACCGGUGGCGAAGGCGGCAUUCUGGACUGUAACUGACACUGAGGAACGAAAGCCAGGGGAGCAAACGGGAUUAGAUACCCUGGUAGUCCACGCCGUAAACGAUGAGUACUAGGUGUUGCGGGUAUUGACCCCUGCAGUGCCGCAGCUAACGCAUUAAGUACUCCGCCUGGGAAGUACGGUCGCAAGACUA
rnacentral:rRNA from 1 species